AGAAGACUCAAAGUGCCCUCGGCUGUCCUCUAGUUAUGCAAAGCUUCAAUUCUGCAGAAAAUAGAAGCAAUGCUCAAAAUUCCUAUUUCUUAGGCAGAUUGUGAAUUGUUCCUAAAAGUGUAAUUUGGGGCCAUUCAUUCAGUAUGUACUCUGUGCUCACUGGAUCAAUACAUCUACAAAUACCGCUCUCCCCACUCCAUUAUUCACAGCUCUCCCUGGAUCACCAUCCAUUCUACUGAUGACUCAAACAAGAAACUUGACCACGAGAGGCAGGAGAGUGUGAGAUGUCAUUGUGGAGAGAGGUGAUGGAUGGCUCUCAGAGAAGUGUUCCCUGCAGUAUUUCCAGGUCCUGCCAGGGCGGAGGGCACACGGUGUGCAGCACGAGGGUGAAAGAACUCCACGGAGGAAGGACAGCCUGGGCUGCAGGUCAGGGAUGCAACGCCGGCUUCAUGAAAGUCGGAGGCCCCGCGCUCAGUUCCCAGCACUACAGAGCAAAGAGCUUUUCUUUGUCGAGAGAGCCCAUGACCCUUCUAUAG
rnacentral:lncRNA from 1 species